UUUAAGUUCAACUAUAAGUUUUCGUGUUCAAUUUUGAUCGUCUGUCUUAUUUGAAAUUUUUUUUUAAUUAAUAUUUUUGUUGUUACGAGAUGAUAAAACAUGAACAGUACUUUACUCAUGACUUAUGUUUUUAAAUUUUUUAAAAAAAAUUUUAAAUAAAAUCAUGGGUGCACUUAAAAUGGGAUAGA
rnacentral:pre_miRNA from 1 species